UACAGAGGUCUCAAGCGUUGUUCGGAUUCAUUGGGCGUAAAGGGUGCGUAGGCGGCGCGGUAAGUCGGGUGUGAAAUCUUGGAGCUUAACUCCGAAACUGCAUUCGAUACUGCCGUGCUUGAGGACUGGAGAGGAGACUGGAAUUUACGGUGUAGCGGUGAAAUGCGUAGAUAUCGUAAGGAAGACCAGUGGCGAAGGCGGGGUCUCUGGGCAGUAACUGACGCUGAGGAGCGAAAGCGUGGGGAGCGAACAGG
rnacentral:rRNA from 1 species